UACGUAGGGGGCAAGCGUUGUCCGGAAUUAUUGGGCGUAAAGAGCGCGUAGGCGGUCCGGUAAGUCGGUUGUGAAAGUCGGGGGCUCAACCCUCGGAUGCCGAUCGAUACUGUCGGGCUAGAGUCCGGAAGAGGCGAGUGGAAUUCCUGGUGUAGCGGUGAGAUGCGCAGAUAUCAGGAGGAACACCAAUGGCGAAGGCAGUUCUCUGGGACGGUACUGACGCUGAGACGCGAAAGCGUGGGGAGCGAACAGG
rnacentral:rRNA from 1 species